ensembl:lncRNA
GGACUAAAUAUUCCUGGGACUGUGAAGAUGCUCCUCACAGUUUUACAGGCUGGACAUUGCCUCUAUCCAAAGGAAAAGGGAAUGGUUUGUGACAGGGAAGUAAGUUGCUUCAUCCUUCCCCUGAUUCUGAAUAUGUUCAGAGGGAUUUUGUGCAGAGCAGAUCAUGUGUUCUAACUUAUAACUUCUCUUUGUAGAAAGCUGUUAGACAUGAAGAGAAAGUUUAAAUGUGUAAAGGUUGGGACAAUAUUGUACAUUCAUUUCUUUAAUGGAUAAGUUGCAAGUGAGCAUGAAUAAAUAAUUUUAUUUUCAGCUUUUAAGUCAAAUAACGAGAUAGAUUAAACAAAUAUAGUUUUGAAAUAUUUUAAGUCUUCUGCCUGGAGAUACCUCCAUGUUAAUGCAGGUCAUCAGUGCUUUUUGUGAAACCAGAACCCAAUCGUGGUAUUUUUUGAUUUAUACACAGAAUGCUCUCCACAAAUGCUCUCCACAACUCUUAGAUGUUAUUGCUCCUCCCUGAAUGUCUGUGCUUCUGUCUGCGUUUUAUAAUACCCCUGGCCUGAGAAGCAGUAAAUAGCUUGACAUCUGCUAUAUGAGUCUUAAUCUAUGGUUUAAAUUUCAGCGAAGAUGAUAUCAGACACUCAUUAUAAUGUAUUCUCUUUCAGUUUAACUGUUGUUCCCUGGUUGAGAUGUGGCUCAGAAGGGUCAGUCUUCCUAACCAUGCAUUUCAUGGUCACUAUAGCAUGUUAAUAUAGCAGCAGCUUUGGGACUUUUUGUGCUUCUCCAGGCUGCCUUUGAGCUUUUCCAGCUGCAGCAUCUGCCUCCCUGCCUUCUUUGGAUGUUGCCUUGUUAAUUCAGUUUUCUUGAAAGUGUAUUUAGAACUGACAUUUGUGCCUUUCAAGGCUUUUCUUGUUUGUUUCCUAUCAGAUCAUAAAGUUUGAAUAUUUCAUAUUUUAAUCUCCAUUUGAAAUAAAAUGUCCUCCCUCUAAGUUAUCCUUCACAGAUCUGCUUUGGUAGAUAAUUUUCACCCCGACUCACCCUUGUCCUCCCUCCCUUUCCUAUGGCCUCACUGCUAUGAAAGUCCAGCUUCACCCUUGCUGUGAUCCAGCUUUUGCCUCCACUUUCCUCAAGUACCAUCCACUUUCAUUUCCUUUUCUUCCCUCACUUUUGAAGGAAUUUUCUCCACUCUUAUUUUUAUCUUUUUCUCUCCACUGAGACUGACAGCAAUCACAACUUACUCUAAUCGCAGUUUAAAGGUUUCUCCCCUGCCUUCUGUCUCCUUGACUUAUCUUCUACAAACCACACUCAUAUUUCACUGUGAGAUUUUCCCUUUGUUGUGCUUGUAUGGGUGUCUUUUUAAUUCUUCAGGAGCAUAUUCCUCCAGAGCUUGCUUUGGUCUGUAUGAAAACUCUUCAGGCUUUCAUCUUCUCUGCCUCUUCCUUCCUCUGUACAUGUUCCUCGGUAUCUUGCUCAGCCCUAUAGAUUCUCUGUGGCAAUAGUUUCUUGGCUAUUUUGUUGCCUUUGUACAUAUUGUUUUUGUACUGCCUCCAAAAUUUAAUCAAGAAAGUUCAACCAAUAGGAAGAGCAGAAUUAUUUUCCAGCCACUUACUUAUUCUUGCUCUGUCUUUUACUGUGAACAAUAAUGCUUUCCUUCAGGGUAGUUCUCCAUGCAAACUGCCUCCAUCUUCACCUCCUUUCUUGCUUUUUUCCUUUUUCUUUGAAUCAUAUAAUAACUCAGUCUGGAAGGGACCUGCUGAUGUCAUUUAGUCCAACCUCCUGCUCAAAAAAGAGCAAACUUCAAAGUUACAUCUUUAUUAUAACCAUUCUACUGCUAUUUCUGAAAUGACCUGAUUUCCAGUUUUCUUACUCCAUCUCUGCUAUUUACUGGGAUCUCUAUCAAUUUUAUUUCUCCUUUUAGCUCACUGACUAGAAAACCAAGAACAUAAAGCAGGUGUGUGGAAGCAUCUUUCUUGCAUCUGCUUUACGUGUUCAACACUGCUUCUGCUGUUUGUGCCCAGUUUGUGCUUCUAGACUCUCCAUUUUUCCCAAGUGGCUGUUUCUGUCUGGCCCCAAGCCCUUCCCAGCCUGCAGCCUUACAGCCCUUCUCCACUUACUUGUCUCCCUCUUGUUGUCAUAGGUUCCUGUCUUUGCCUGCUUUGCCACUUCCUAAGCAGACAUGGCCUCACCUUUGGGUCUCUCCCAGCUUUUUUAGGGUGAGGCUAAAGCAAUGUGUGUAAGAAUCUGCACGAAUCAUCCUGCUUCUCUUGUGGUCUCUCAUCUUCACAUUCUGUUCUUUCAGUGUCAUUUGCUGAGUGUUUGCUGCCUCAAAAUGUACACUCUUUGAGUCAAUUUCUUCUUUAUUCCAAUAUUUUCUAUCUUGCUAGAAAUGAUCACACUUAACAAACAUUAUGGUACACUUUAUUAUGGCUUAGCAGUGUCUCAUAGGCAAAUGCUGGGCUAAACCAAGUUUCAUUUAAAAACUAUAAAAUCUGUAAUUACAUAAUGCCAUAGAAUCAUAGAGCUGUUUGGGUUGGAAGGGACCUUAAGGAUCAUCUAGUUCCAUUCUCCCUGCCAUGGGCAGGGUCACCUUCCGCUAGACCAGGUCGCUCCAAGCCCUGUCCAACCUGACCUUGAACACUACCAUGAUUUGGAAAGAUCUACCCUGAAUCUCUGCUAUCUCUUAUCCUCCAUCAUAUUUUGGUAACUUAUUUUUCCACUGUUUCCUUAGUUGCCAUUUGAACUCUCCGGAUUUAGACUGCAGCUGUACAAAAACAUCUGCAUUCAAAAUAAUAAGCUUCAGUAGUAAGGUUGUAAAUUGGGCUAGAAUAAAAUCUGUUGUGCAUUUUCACUGUGACUACAUUCUGCUCUUUUUACUCAGCUUGAAUCCUACCAUCCACUCACAUUUUCUGUUGUGCUUUGUUUUAAAAGAUAUUGGUGAAGACUGCAAAAAAUCCAGAAUGUGCUUAUGAUCGUAGUUACUGCUAA